rnacentral:lncRNA from 1 species
UGCAAUAUAAUAGAGAAGUUAUGGGUUCCUUGUCGCUGGAGAGAUGGCGCCAGCUGCGAUAUCCGUAGCCAUGGCAGGGCGCAGCUAAAGCCAUUCUCUAGCGACAAGCUACCUUUCAACUUCUUUUGCUUCACCGUUCUGUAUUUGCGAUUUAUUUAAAGCGGUAAGUACGUAUCCUCCAUCACCUAAUUCAUCUUCCUUUGCUGAUAAAUUUCCUUUAUUUCAGUAUAGAGAUUAAAAGAUAUUCUUCAAACUCCAUCCAAUAAUUUAUAGUUAUUUUUAUAUGUUGAAUAAUUUCUUUUAAUAUAAUAACAAAAUUUCUACAAUUAAACCGAUGCAUAUCCGUCUAUAUUAGUCCACUCUAUGCGAGUCUGAGCUUGCUCUAUCCGAAUCUGGUUACAGGGUCCAUAGAUCUUAACACCUUGUGGAGGUAAUCUUUCAGGAACUGAUUAACAUUAUGCCAUUGUAAUCUGUGAUGAGAUUUUAGCUUAUUUAAAUCAAAAUAUUACUCCAAUAAAUAAAAUUAUCAUAAAAUAUAUCAUAAGAAUAUGUUUAUUUUGGUCGUAGAUGAUCAAGCAACUUCAUGAGUUGGGAAUCAAGUCCCAUCUAAAACUCAGAUUAUUAAGACUAGAAAUAUAAAAAGAAACUCAGAAAUCUCUAACUUGUUAAUGUUUUCAAAGAUUAUAAAAACAGCUUUUAGUCAUUUAUCGAAAAUAGAUUUUUAUUUUUUAAAACCAUACAAAAAAAAAAAUUAAAAAGAGAACACAAACAAUUUCUAAUAAAUAUAUUUUAUUUUCUUUAUUUUAAGAAUUUUAAAAAUAUAAAAUAAUAACAAUAAUAAACACUUCCUAGAGAUUUAAGUUUUAGUGACAUGUUGUUAAAGCAUUUGGACCACUUUAUAAUAGUAACAAUAAUAAUUAUAAUAAAAAUAAAGCCCGAAUCAGUGGCCCUCAAACCUCUGCUUGAUUCUUAUGUCUUUCUUCUUCUUUUGAUAUGCUUGAUUAUUUUAUUGGCUUAUUAGAGAAAAAAGAAAGGCGUUAUAACUCAACCUGUUUAAGGAUCCCAUUCAUUUAAUAUUGGGUGGAUGCCUAAAGUUGAACUUGAAAUUCAAUUCUCCCCCAAUAAGGAGACCGGAUGACGUUUUUCUUUCUUUGCCCUUUUUUUAUUUAUUAUUAAUUUCUUUUUUUUGUCUCAGAUGACUCCUUCUACGUCUCCAGCCAUGGUUACACACUGCAUCUUCUUUUUACACUGGAAUUAUUCAAGCCAGCCUACCGGUUUAGUUUAUAUACAUUUUAAUUAGUCAACAUUUGCUUCUUUUUUAUUUUUUAAUUUCUC